rnacentral:lncRNA from 10 species
UAGAAAUGCGGGUAUGAGCAGCCAGGAUAUUGAUAGGGGCAGUCAAGAAAAGAAUUCUACUGAAAUAAGGAUGAUGAAUUCCCAUGGACAGCUAGCAAAUUAUCUGAUGUGGGAAGCAGGUUCAGGAUUUCUGAACGAUGGAUGAUCCUGAUUGACAUUUCAUGUGACAGUUCUCAAUCUCUUCGUGAUUGGGAAAGUGGCACUUAUAACCACCAUCUACUGGCAAGUCAUUGGCUCUCUCUCCUUCUUGGCCUGGUUUCCCUGUCCCUCAUUCCUACCUUUUUCCAGGAUCACAAAAGCCGAUAACAAGCUUGCACUCAGGUUCUGCUUCCUGGAGAGCCCAGGCUGAUAUCUCACUUCAUAUUUACAACAACUAUGCAAGAUAUGUCUUCUUGUUGUUGUCUCAUAAAUAAAGAAACGGGAGAGUCUAACAAGAUAACUGACUUGUACAGAGUCACACAGCUAGUUGGAGUGCAGUGAUGCAAUCAUGGCUCACUUCAGCCUCUACCUCCUGGGAUCAAGCAAUCCUCCCACCUCAGCCUCUGGAGUCACCGGGACUACAGGCACGUGUAACCAUGCCCAGCUAACUUUUAAAUUUUUUGUAGAGACAAGGGCUCACUAUGUUGCUCAGGCUAAUCUCAAACUCUUGAGCUCAAGUGAUCCUCCUGCCUUGGCCUUCCAAAG